CCUAAAAUUAGAUUUAACCUCACAAAGACUUUGUCCAAAUUUUGGACAUGUCCUUAGCCCAAAACGCUCAGACAUUCAGAAAUCUGCUGUUUAGAGGAGUUCGGUAAUUGAAUCGAGGAGUUCCGAAUACCUGAGCAUGCGCAUAUAUUUAAAACUAACUGCGCAUGCGCAGAAUACGGAAGUAGCUGUGUUUGGACAUUUUGUAUUAGCAGUGAGGAAAUUCGGAAACACAAAAAGCAAAUGCAAGGUCUGCAAUGAAAAUCGACCGAUACCCGGGGGUCGGGCUAGUGGUUUUCUGCAAGAGGGUCGCCCCGUUGGCCAGUAAAAAAAGAUAAUAUUAUUUAUACACGUGCAAUACAUGCAAAGCACACCUGAGUUCAGAUACUGAAAGUGAACAUCAGUGGAACUUUGAUGAUCUAGGCCGCUCUAUUUUUGCAGCAACACCAUCAUGCGUCGGACAUUCAUAAAGUUGAAAGAACAAACCUAUGACUUGAACACACAAUUUGUGAUCUGAAUAUAGUUCACAAAUUUAAGGAAAGCAACUAUCAAAGACAUCCAGAUUGAUGGUAUACAUGAAGUAUGAAUGAAAGACUUUUCAGAAGAACAAGCACAAUCCCGAUUCAUUCUUGCCAUUGUCUUCUCCAGACGGUGACAUUUAGGACCUGACUUACUUUUCAGAAAAAGAAGAUGAAUCGAUUUUUGAUAGUUGAUCUUAAAAAGAUAACAUUUUCAGGGGUCGUGGAUUGAAUGACAUUUUCUUGCAAUCUCCCAUGCAGAGUUGUCAGGUGAAUGUAUGAGCCGAUGGUAGAGAGUGAUUUUCUUGAUGGGCAACUAGUUUCAAGUAUUUGGAUGUCUAUUCUCAAGUUACUGCAAACCUUAAAUUAACUUCUUGAUUAUUAGUUAAAUGUGAGACCGUUUCUUACUUGAAGUAAUCAUUUUUUGAAUUGAGCUAUGUAAUCUCUGAUUACUUAUGUUUAUGAGUAGUGUUCAGCUUUAAGACAAAAGGAUCUUUUAUGAACAUUGCAUUCGUCAUGGUGAAUUUCUAUACAUUAAGUAACAGUCAUAGUUUUCGUCUUUUUUAAUUAGCGAUCUCAUUUUAAAUGUGAGAAAUAAUUAUUAAACUGAAAUGUACAUUUAUGUUGUUUGAUUUUUAUUUUUUUGAAAAUUGUAAAUCAAUUGCAUGUUGUUGUUUUUUUUUUUCAUUUUAUUUUAGGGGAUA